UCCUCUUCCACUGCUCUAGUUCAUGUUAACAGGCCUGCGCUAUGGUACAAUGCUAUUGUAGUUAGUAUUAGAUUUUAUGCAACCGGGACUAUUCCAACUAAUUAGCAUUUAAUGCUAUUGUAGUUAGUUAAUAAUGAUAUCAUUCAAAUUACAAUGCUAUUGUAAUUUGAAUCAUAUCAUUAUUAACUAAAUCGAGAAGUGAGCGAGGGUAUAUGUAAUUUCAAUCUCUCUUUGCAAUUGAAAGAAGAGUCCUAGGAAUAUGCAUAGAGAUGCAACCAAAUGAAAAGGAUCUCCUUCUAUGUACUUCACUAAUAUGACUCUCCGAAUCUGUUGAUAAUUGCAAUGAACGACGACCCUUCAUAGUUGAAACAGAUGAAGACCAAGAAAAACCUGAACCACGAGGUGAUACCAUAGAUUCAGAAUCCGAGCUGCAAUCUAAUCUUGAGAACAUACCAAACUGAAACAACUCUUCAUUACUAUUUUCUUGGUGCUUCUUCCCUUUACCAUGUUUUCUCUUUUUGUUCCAAAACUUGAGCCACGACUGAGGUGAAGAUUUUGGACUAUGGAGGUUGUUUAUGCAUGGCUUUGGUAACUCUAAGCUGAGAAGUCCUGGUGGAGGAGUUAGAGGAAGAAGAAAAAGCUCUUCUUUUCUUGAUUCUUUAGCAAUUCCUGGUUGCAUUUCCCAUUUGAAUGGAACACCUUCACCACUUCUAUAAUAUGAGGUACGCGAUGAACAUCCCAUUGAAGAUUCCUUUUCAAUACUCUUGCUCAACAACUUCUCCCUUUCAU
rnacentral:lncRNA from 1 species